rnacentral:rRNA from 1 species
UACAGAGGUGGCAAGCGUUGUUCGGAAUUACUGGGCGUAAAGGGCGCGUAGGCGGCCUUCUAAGUCAGACGUGAAAUCCCUCGGCUUAACCGGGGAGCUGCGUCCGAUACUGGAUGGCUUGAGUAUGGGAGAGGGAUGCGGAAUUCCAGGUGUAGCAGUGAAAUGCGUAGAGAUCGGGAGGAACACCAGUGGCGAAGGCGACUACCUGGGCCAGCACUGGACACUGAGGCACGAAAGCGUGGGGAGCAAACAGG